CAACUACUCCCUCUGUCCCAAAUUUCUUGUCUUAAAUUUGUCUAGAUACGGAUGUAUCUAAUACUAAAAUGUGACUUGAUACAUCCGUAUCUAGACAAAUCUAAGACAAGAAUUUUGGGACGGAGGGAGUACUUU
rnacentral:pre_miRNA from 1 species